CUUUUGUUGUCAGUUCAUGGAGUCCAGGUGGUUGAGUAUCAGAGUGUUCCAUCUUGUUUCCCUUUGGGGUUGCUUUAGGUGAUCUGGAAGUCUGGUUUUGAGACUUAUUUAUGUGUCUUCUCAUUUUAACAGAUGCAGCUUACUGUGCCUUUGUUGAGGCAACUCUUUGCUCACCCAGUGGUCUUCAAUUCAACAAGCCACAGAGUUGCCUUUUCUCUGCUGUGUACCAGUACACCAAUUCCUGGGUUCAGAAUGGUGGCCUUCUGGAUCCCUGAGCUGACUGGUUGUCUGGGUGAGCUUCUGGCUGGGGCCUGUGCACACUUGUGAUGGUAUCUAGGAGGCUGAGUCCGGCACGCAUCCUGCUCCAGGACAGCAGACAGGAGCAGCUGUGUUCAUUUGAGGAUUCUCAGCCCUGUCCCUCUCCGCCCAGCACCUGGUCUGGGAACAGCAGCGCUGAGUGGUGAAGUGCUGCACACAGCAUUUCCUUUACAGGCUUAUUGUUACUUAAAUGGAAAGUUUACCACGGUGGAUGCAGGCAAGAAAUGGAAAGCAAAUUUUGUUAAUCGGGAGCACAGAAUUCUGCAGUCAACUGACGAGUGUAGCAACACAGCAAGGACAGGAGGAUAUCGGACGGUUGCACUCGUGAUGACUGAGGAAUGUUUGUUUCAUCACAAAGUAAUAGAUUGGAAAAACCUGCAUACAUUACUGUCCAGGGGAGCCGUAAAUAAGACGAACUUCUUACACAAAGUAUCUUUUCUCGAGAGAGAGGUGGAUUUUUGCCAGAGCCAUUUCCAUUAAUUUCCUCACAGAGUGUCUUCGGCAAUCCUGACCCGCCGUGUGGAGGGAGCAUUCGGAGAGGCGCUGCCCGCUCUGCGAGCUCGCUGCCGCGCUGCUCAGUCAGGGGAUGCAUUGCCGAGGUAAAAGCUCUCUCUGAAAGUCAAUCAUUUGAAGAGUGGCGUCAAGAGGGGACUUUUGUGAUAUAAAAAUAACUGAACAGCAUUUCAUUCUGGUGAUUUGGACACUUUGUUCACAGGUAUAUUGCACAACUGGCUCUCUGCUGUGAAUUCAGAGGCUGAUCUUCCCUCCCUCCUUUCCUCCUCUCGCUUCCUUCUAUUUUAGUUUCGACAAAAAGUUCAUUUGUUUCUAUUUUUUUUUUUUUUUUUUUUUUUUUACAAAGGGUCCUGGAACUGUCUCCCUUGGAUACUAAGGGGCAAAAGUAUUCCUGUUUGGGACGAAGGGACUUUGAUACCAGUCAGGAGUACAUUGCACUUCCCUAAGAAUUGUCUACAAAGCCACCGUUACUACUGUGUAAUUUAAGAUCACAGAAAAAUGCUUGGUGGAAACACGAUGCAGUAAGAUCUUCGCACAGCUGUCAGAGGUUUCGCGCCCGUCCCCAUCCCCAUGGGCCUGCCAGGCCCCGCCCGACGCCACAGUCCUGUACCAAGGUUGUCUGGGUUGAGGACACAGUGAUAUUCUACUGUGUGCGUUUUUGAAUUGAAGAAUGUUUGCUAGGCUUUGGAAUGAGUGAACAGAGCAUGCUGGGAGAAACUACCUGUCUCUGUGUAUCUGUCUGUGUGUGGACCACCACUAGCCUGCUCAGGGGCUGCACAGUCUGUUCCCGCGCUCAGGACCUUUCAAAGCUGACCGGAAGUGAGUCCCGGAGCUCCCGGCAGGGCGGGGAAGAGAAGCGUGGAUUUCUGUGACCCAAGCUGCGAUCCUUCCGCCCCCUUUGUCUCCGCUGCAGGUACACUGAGGGACAUCCGUGCGGCGUGAUCACACGGCAGGAGACCUGGCCUGGAAUCAGGCGCUUGGAAGACGGCUCCACUUCCUCCUCCUCACGCGAGUGUCCUGCUCGACUUCUCAGCUGUCCACCGCCCGCACGGAACCGAGGGGCGCAGACGUUUCUUUGCCGCUGUCUCGCACUUGCUGUGUGCCCGCACCGGGCUUCGUUAUCACAGCUAAUUAAGAUGAUGCUGGAAGGCUGCACUGUGCUUCAUGUUCGCUAUUUACUGAAUAUUAGGGGUUACUCUACUCUCCUUAGCAGCGGAGACAGAGAAGUAUCAGGAGCUUAAAAAUGCCCGGUGAGUGUAGGAGUCGCUCUAAUUUAUUUUAAAAUGCUCUCUUGUUUUGUAAAGGAGAGAAGGAUGGCUGGUCUAGGAAAAACAUCCUUAACAAUUACAUCCUAAUUGUUUCCACAUAACUCUGAUUGUACCCAUUGUACAGUUACAAGAAUAUUUCAUGUGACAUUUUCAAAAAUUAAGCUUUUUAUUUUAUAAUAGCUUUAGACUUACAAAAAGCUAUAAAGAUACUACAUAUCCCAUAACUUGAUUUCUCUUUUGAUGGCAUCUUAACAUUUAUC
rnacentral:lncRNA from 1 species